CAGUAGCCGCGGGAAUACGUAGGUCCCGAGCGUUGUCCGGAUUUAUUGGGCGUAAAGCGAGCGCAGGCGGUUUGAUAAGUCUGAAGUUAAAGGCUGUGGCUCAACCAUAGUUCGCUUUGGAAACUGUCAAACUUGAGUGCAGAAGGGGAGAGUGGAAUUCCAUGUGUAGCGGUGAAAUGCGUAGAUAUAUGGAGGAACACCGGUGGCGAAAGCGGCUCUCUGGCCUGUAACUGACGCUGAGGCUCGAAAGCGUGGGGGGCGAACAGGAUUAGAUACCCCCGUAGUCCCUGUCUCUUAUACA
rnacentral:rRNA from 1 species